rnacentral:lncRNA from 1 species
GCCUUCGACUUUGCCCAUGUUAGGACGAGGUUCUCCUCCUGUUCCUAACAUGGCUGUGGGGGCACAUAUGGGCGUUGCAGGGCCUCUCCCCCCAUCCAGUCUGAAUGUAACCGGGCCUUCGACUUUGCUCAUAUUAGGACGAAGUUCUCCUCCUAUUCCUAACAUGGCUGUGGGGGCACAUAUGGGUGUUGCAGGGCCUCUCCCCCC